AAGAAAAAUAUUCCUGAAGAUGCUUAACUGAAAAGAAAAUCACACUUUCAUUUUUUAUCUGGGAUUUUUCAACAGUUGUCUGUUUUUUGGAUUGACGUCCCUUUGAAAGGCUGUUUUUUUUUUCGGUGGUACAAGUCUGUCCAAUUUACAAUAUAAAGGUGUCAUACUUUUUGCCAGGGAGAGCUUUAUAAAACAGUGAUGGCCUAAUAUUGCGCCUAUUGUGAUGUUGGUUUUUAUGCAGGUUAUACUGACCUUUCUUGAUAAAAGAAACAUCUUGUUAAACAAAACAAAGAAAUAGUAAACACAUCAGGAAUGUUACAUAACUGUGCAGACAGAGGUCAAGCUGUUCGAAUACGCAGCGAGAAUCUUCUACUUGUAUCAUGCUGUAAAUACGAGAACCACAUAACCUUGGCUUUUGGUGCUAUUUAUUAUUAAAACAUACUUUAGCUAGAAAAGAAAUAACACUUGAAAAAGCCAAUAUUCUUCGCAUUUUUGACAUCUAGUGCUAAAAGCUUUACCACUAUUAUUAAAAGAACAUUUUAUGAACAAAUCAUUUAAAUCGUCAGAAAGCAUUAGUGGUUCAUGCACCUUACAACCCUAUACCAUAGUUAUUGCUAUGAUUAUGUUAUUCAGGUAGCACAUUAAAGUAAAUGAGGCUGUAAACUAUAUAUAGUCACAUCAGGAGUAGAAGUAUAAAAUACUGUAAGAACAAUAUGAAAUGCUGGUUUUGCCAGACAUCUAUAUAAAUUUUUUUAAAUUCUCUUUGUUAAAAGAUUUUUCAGUACUUUUCAAGUGGGUGUAUUACAAAAAAAAUCACACACAUGCGUCCUUUUGUAACAGAGAAGGAUUAUAAUGAACAAGAAAAAAUAUGUUAGCUCUACAUGGCAGCAAUCUUUGAAACUAAGUUUGUUUAAACUACUUAAUAGUUGUGAUGGAUUAUUAAAAGUAACACUCUGCUUGUGCAUAGCAGUUAAUGCUGUUUUUAACUACGAAGCACACUAGAUGAAAACGCCACAUCUGCCAGUUUUCUUUUUUUCCUCAACAUCAGGCUGACAGCAGAAAAAUAUAAUGGCUCUCAAGGGAAACACCAAAUUAAAAGCAGUUCUAAACUAAUGAAUUCAAAGGUGCUCUGUAGAAAAUUCAGUUUGGUAACAUAAAAAUGAACGCAGCUUUUUAAUCACAUCCCUCCAUUUUACUGAACUUCAGGAGUUACCAACAAGCCUACUUAAUUCCAAGUCCUUUUACCUUCUGCUGCUACUUAAGAUGCACUUCCUGCAUAAUACGUGCCUGUUUGUUUUUAAAGUUGCAAACCGUUUUCUGCAUGACUGUCUGGCAUGCCGGUAACCACGAUCACUGGGAGAAGUUCUGGGACAAGGCCAGAACCAUCAGCUCCUGCUAGGAUUACUCAAGUCAACUUCUCUUUCGGUGCAGUCUCAUUACUAAAAUUAUAGAUUAUAUACAGAAUACAUGUAUUCGCUUUGCAAAACAUUCUGUUUCUGCCGUCUCCACCACAGCCUUCCUGCGUGGGUUUCGGCAAGGUUAUCCUAGGUCCACUCAGACUCUCAUUCCUCUUCUGUGAAAAGGACACAAAACUUAGUUGCCUUUCGUAGUGGUUGACUAGUUUCACGCUGAAAAAGACUAACCUCACUGACCAAAGGCCCAGGUAUUUUUUCCUUCAUAUCUGCAUAGCAGAUGAUGGCAGUUUAGCUGGACAAGGAAUGCAGUUCAGGCUGCAAAAGGUACCGAGUAAGGACUGUGGGUAAACGCUGCUGUUACACCGUAUGGUUAUACCAACGGGAACGAGGCCUGCCACAGCACCGUUUGAGCACAAACAUGAAAACCGCCCCGCCGACUUCAAGCCUGGAGGGGGAUGAGACAGCAGCUCAAUGGUUGGACGGUUUGGGCGCAGCAACUUCAUCCUUGAGACUGAGCUCAAGCCCUUGCUGGGGAGGGUGCUGGGUGCAGGUGGUGCCACCUUUCCCAGCCACGUCCCCUCUGCAGGGGGUGGUGUGGGUGGGUGGUGUGGGUGUGAAAGUGGGAGUCCAUUACACUUACAAUUGCGAUUUACAUGUUGCAGAGCAGUGAAACAACUUGGGAUUGUCACGCAGCCUCGCAAAGGGUGGAGAGAUUCACUGCGCCGGCGUCCACUCUGUGUGGGUUUCCACACUGUUCUCAAGUAAGAGACCCCCCCUCCCACAGAAACUGCUUCAGAUCUGGAAGCUACUUUGUGUCGUACCGUAUGGAGGUCCCUGAAGGCUGUGCCUGCAACUGUUCUGCCAAAGCAUCGCUGAGCUUCGCCAGCCUCCUGCUCUCGCCGCUUCUUACCUGAAGGCUUGAUCUCGACAAGACUCCCAGGGACAGGCUGGAUGGCAGCAGGUCGGGGACCGCAGCUAUAGUGGCCCCAGGAGUGUUGUGCGUACCUGCCGCAUGGAUACCAUGCCAUGCAACAGCCAGCUAUCCUUGUGGUAAUGCCAUACAGCUGAAGUCAGCAGAGCAGAUGACCUGCAUCCCCUCCUAGAAGGGAACCAGAGCCACAAGCAAUGUGGAUGUGUGAAGCCUGUGACUUACCCUCAAACUGCAUAUAGCCCUAUGUUGCUGCAGAAGAAGCGGCAACCCGAAAAAGAAGCUUAUGAUGUGCAUUUCAGAUUCAUCCCUAUCCCCAUCCCACCUUCGUGCAAAGAGCUAAACAGAAAAAAAAAAAAAAGACACUUUUUAGAGCAAAUGCAGAGGCAUCUAAGAAGAAAAGGAACUGAAUGAACAGAAAGCCCCCUGAUGAGCAGUGGCCAAGCUCCUAUCGUUUUCCAGCAAUUCUAUUAUUUCCCCAAUGACUAAGGAGAACAGGUCUAAAUGGUGCAUAUGGAGUUUGCCCCUGGAGAUGGGGGAAGGGAAGGAAAUUAAGGUACAAAUAUAUAAUUAGCUGCCUAAUGUGAGGGACAUAAAACACAGACAUUUUUCAUUUUGCCCCAGAGGUGACUGAGAAUGUAGAACCUCUGGGUAAGAAAUCAAUGCACAAACUGUCAGGUAAAUACAUACUGAAAUAGAAGUGGGGGGUAAGUUAAUAGUUCUAUGAGGUCAUAUAAUAAAGUCCAUAGUUCUUUCAUCAGUGCUGUGAACAAUGCAGUUACUGUGUUUCUCCCCUGGUGUAACAGCAAAGACGGUUGCUAGACUCAGAAAAUAAAUUAUGCCAUGCUUUAUUAAAAAGUAAACAGCUGUUCCAGCCACAAUACAGCACAUGCUAAUUGAAGAAUGCCUUAAGCAGUCCUAUAAUAAAAGGCUUUUAAGAGCUGGAGAGCAAAAAAAAAAAAAAAAAAA